rnacentral:rRNA from 1 species
GAUGAACGCUGGCGGCGUGCCUAAUACAUGCAAGUCGAGCGAACAGACGAGGAGCUUGCUCCUCUGACGUUAGCGGCGGACGGGUGAGUAACACGUGGAUAACCUACCUAUAAGACUGGGAUAACUUCGGGAAACCGGAGCUAAUACCGGAUAACAUUUUGAACCGCAUGGUUCAACAGUGAAAGACGGUCUUGCUGUCACUUAUAGAUGGAUCCGCGCCGCAUUAGCUAGUUGGUAAGGUAACGGCUUACCAAGGCAACGAUGCGUAGCCGACCUGAGAGGGCGGUCAGCGAAACUGGGACUGAGUCACCGUCCAGCCUCGUACGGGAGCAAGCAGUCGGGAAUCUGACGCAAUAGGGGAAAGCCUGACAGGGCCAGACCGCGUGAGUGAAGACGGUCUUCGGGUCGUAAAACCCUCUUAUUAGGGAGGAACGAGUGUGGAAGGAACGAUGCGCGUAGUGCCGGUACCUACGCAGAAAGCGGCGGCUAACUACGUG